GCCUCAGCUUGCUCAGUCAGAGCAGUGCGAGGCGCAGACAGACGCACACCUUCUCUCUCUCUCUCUCUCUCCCUCACUCUCUCUCGCCCUCUCCCUUUCAUGCACGCACACACACACAUGCUCAUGCACGCAGACGGCAACCGUCCUCUAUCGGACUGACACCACACACACGCUGGGAUAGACACACUGUGCCCCCCCCUCCCUUUCCUUGCUACAGUGGAGAAGAGGAUAAGAAGUGACAUAUCAGGAAAAAAACAAAUACAACCAAAAAAGAAGAGGUUCACAGGCGAAGAGGAGGAUCGUCCUGACGUUUAGUCCCGUCAAAGAUGGCAAACCUUGUGACAUCGCUGUGCUGUGUAGUCCUGGCCGCGGUGGUGGUAGCCUACGCUCAGAGACGCAGUCAGCUCGGUGAGUAUGCAUUUUAUCUUCAUUACACUGUCACUGUGCCGUGCGUUGCCGAGGCCCCCGGUCUCUGCCUCCGCUUGUUCUGUUUCGUCUGGUCCAACCAAAUGGUCCUGAUUGACUUUAAUUUAUUCGCCCUGGCUCUUUUCUUCCUCUCAAUCUCACGUCCUCUCCUCUACUGUUUUAUUAUUUCUGCUUCCAGUCUUUGCCACACUACUCUUUUUCGCUCUUCAAUAAUUGAGUUGCCGUUGUCCUGCUGAUGUGAUAUCUUGAUAGUAUGAAUGAGAAUGCUGGUGUAAGGAUUACUCCUCUAUUUUGGGUGUAUGCAACUAUAGGAAGUUAGGGUUGCUGCCAACAUUUGCUGGCCUCUUUAUGAGGUACACAUGUCCAAGCAUGGAUCAGUAUGAGACUCUGACUUUAUGAUAACCUGAAGUGAAACUAUCCACGGCAUCACAGUGUCAUUAUAUUGCGAUUACAGCUCUGAAAUGUGAUCACAUUCGGCCGACCUGGAGGAGAAGGGGCAGAAAUGUUCUAGUCCUAACGAUACCUUACAUUUUUAUUUAUUUUUUUUAUUUUUUUUAUAAAUCUUUUUAUUGGAGGAUAAGGAGGUUACAUUUACAGGAGCUAUAACAGUUCUCCAUUUUCAUUUUAUAUUAAACAAAUAGAACAUUAUACAAACCCACCCCAAAAAAUAAAUAAAUAAACAAAAAAAUAUAUACCAUUUUCAUUUUAUAUUAAACAAAUAGAACAUUAUACAAACCCACCCCAAAAAAAGAUAAAUAAACAAAAAAAAAAUAAUAAUAAUAAAAUAAUAAUUAAAAAAAAUGUUGUGCGUUCAGGAACGGUCUUCUCCAUACAUUGGAUGUAGCAAGUGUAUGUUUGAGUUACUGUUUCUAGACAUUUCCGGUCAUUCUCCUGUGACCGCUGGCGUCAACAAAGCAUUUCCAACCAAAGAACUGCAUUCUCUGUAAACUCUAGCCAGGGUUGUGCAUGAACUACAGUCUCGGAAUGACUUAUGUAUCAAAACACCAGCUUGUCAAGCAUUAACAAGCAUGCCACAUUCAUUCAAAGUCACUUUAAAUCUCUGUUUUUCCCUCAUUCCAAGCAUUGGGUCGUCUUGACCGUGGGUUAGGGUUAGCCAGUGGGAUUGACUGAUUCGAUAUUUGGAUUAAAAAAGAUGAGCUAGAUAAGAUAAUAUCAUUUUAUGAUGGUUUUAUUUGCCACAUACGCAAUCAUACACAGCACAAUGUGCAGUGAAAUUCCUAGAGAAUACAAAUUAAAAUUCAAUAUGAAGAAAAGAAAGUAAAAACCAUAGCACCAUUAUUAGACACAAUUAAAAUGCCUCGUUAUAAAGUGUCCAGUGUUUAAAAAUUAAAGUGUAAGGUAUCUAAAAAUGUACAAUAAGCAACGUUCCUAAUAAAAUGGCCAGUGAAAAAAGAAGGAAAACUUACCCGUGAUCGAGUUGGAAUUCUCUUUUUUCCCCCCUCAUUCACAAACAGAGAAACAAUAGGUGAGCCAAUCAGCUUGUCAUCCCCCGACGCAUUGUGAUAAUAUUGUACCGACAUUGCCAAGGCUACCUCCAUAACAAAUAAGGAUUCAACAAAGAAGCCAGUCAGGUCAACUGAUGAUCAUGAGCAUGUUUCAAAUGAUUUGUGUGUUGAGGUUUUGAGUAGGGGAAAAAAAAAAAAGAAGAAGAAGAAGGUGGAGCUGAAAAAGACCCACAUAAUGCAGCUCUUCUGAGAGUUCACAGAGAAUGCACGACUAUAAAUUACACUUUCUGUGUGUGUGUGUGUGUGUGUGAAGGAGUCAAUUUGUCACUUGACUCUUGGUAAAGCGUGGCCUUGGCUUGUUAACCAAUGAAGGAGCACAAGAAAGAGUCCAAGGAAGUCAAUAAGUCCCCAGUGACGCAAAGCACCAUGUCACGAGGGUCUCACACACACACACACACACACACACGAGCAAACACAUGUACCAACUGUGCAGAAAUGUCUUAGGAAACAGGAAUGUUAGUCUUUGGAGAUUAGGUGAAAGCAGGAAAAGAAGUUUAGUGAAAGAGUGAUAUGUAAAAUGAAAAUAAAAACAAAGUAGGACAAUAGUUGUGGGGACUGGAAGAAAUAGUGGAAAUAGAAAAAUGAUGGGAGGGAAAUGGAAACAGACAGAUGGACAAAUUGAAAAUGAAACUCAGGAGGAAUUAUAAUUGAGGUCUGAUGGAAAAGAGUUUGGGACUAAAAGACUUUUUGUUCCAAAUGGGACGCCGUGUGUGUGUGGAAGGUGAAUUUAUUUAUCCUAUUUCCUUUAGAAAAGUUCUGUGGAAAUGACGUGGAACUCUAUAAAACUGACAUGACAUGACAUCUUAUAUUUUAUGUGAAACACAGCGGCUAGUCCAUCGUCAGCCGUCAAUCAAUCUUUCAUUUUGUGCUCUUUUUUUUGUUUUACAUUUUAAGAAAAGGAAGAGAAAGAGAGUAAACAGAGAGAGGUGAAAAGGCAGCACUUCAGCGAUUCACAUCAGCACAGGGAGGAAUGAAUAACAUGCACGGAAGGCAAAGAAAGAGCUGACAGUUUUGUCUUUGAAACAAACAAACGUGUGUGUGUGUGUGUGUGUGUGUGUGUGGGUUUUCUCACUUCCAAAUCCUGUUUAACACAAAUACCUCGACAUGAAAAGCCAUCAUAACACAGAGGCAGAAGCACAUAUCACUCACGGUGUCUCCAGAUGUAGCUUUGCCCCACAAGUCACACACGCACACAUGCACACAUCUGUCUGUCUUGGAAAGUGCCUUAUUUCUCUGACAAAUUGCACUCGCCUCUUUGACUGACAGAGUUCCCAGGAGUAGGCCGUGCCCUGCUUGGCAGUGUUUCACACGCUCACAAUGGCAUUAAAAGAGAUGAAUACCUACAUACACACAUACACACAUAUCCACUACAAACGGAUGGAACGUGAACAUGGAAUAACGCACUCGUUAAACCGUAGGUCUGAGUCGAUCCGUGCAAAAUGCACACGUUUGUGAGAGAGAGAGUGUACGGAACGCCGUCAUCACUGACAGCAGCGUGUUCAGCAAAGACGUUGAAUGAGGAACACUGGGAGAAAACACACACACACACACACACACAGGCACCGAAUCAGUCAGAGAGAUACAAGCUCCACUCGCACGGUGGUCGAUGAUGAGAAGAUGAAGACCUGGAGACAUUGCGGGAGGUAGACAGAUACAGGACGGACGACUGGGGAUGGGACUGAGGGACAAGAACGCCAAACAUGGCAACUCCUUCAGCUCAUUCAGUAAAUACUGAGAAGGCAAGAUGUGACCAGUUUCAGUGCCUUUAUUUUAAGAUUAGUUGAAAACGGCAAGAAGGUUGCUGGUUUGCAUCCUGAUCUGGACCUUUUUGUCCAGGGUUCUCCGAGUUCUCCAGGGUUCUCCGAGUUCUCCAGGGUUCUCUGGUUUCAUCUCACGUGUCUAAAAACAUGCAGAGGUUAAUUGCUCAUAGGUGAGCACUGUUGCCUCACAGCAAGAAGGUUGCUGGUUUGCGUCCUGGUCUGGACCUUUCUGUCCUGAGUUCUCCAUGGUUCUCUAGGUUCUGUGGUUUCGUCCUGAUGUCCAAAAACAUUCGGAGGGCAAUUGCCCAUAGGUGAGCACUGUUGCCUCACAGCAAGAAGG